CAGCGCCGUUGCUGGGUUACAGAUACCGGGAGCCGAGAGGUUGGAGACGCCGCGGCUCCCAGUGGGCACGUCGUGGUCCUAUGGGGAUUUUGUGACGACUGUUUGUACCAUGCACACUCCUUCCGUGCUCACAGCCCCCCAGUGAGGAAGCGGGGGGAGGUUGGAAGUUGCAGUUUGCUCAGGAUUUUGUCAGCGUUCCAGUUUCCCGCGUUCUUGUGGCUACGCAGUCGCUAAGCUGUCCUCCUAUAGGUUCCUAUGGACUUUUUCCAGCCACUUCUAUUGUAUUCAGUAUUUUGGGAUGGCUCCGUAAACAGAUGAAGCCAAUCAUGUAUUAACAGUACCAACUGAGACACCCAGGGCUCUCAGGGUCAAGGAGUGCAAGUGGAGCCACUCUGUCCCACUAAGCCUGUCCUGACCACAGAGGGAUGGAGGUGGUCCCAGGGCUUCUGUCCACAUGUGUGCCAGCCUGCUGGAUCAAGUCCUGUCUUCCCAACCAGAUUUGAUGCCAGUGGAGUACACAGGUUUUUCUCUCUGAUAAGAUCUCUGGAUCACAGAAGUUUCUGGGAAAGGACAGGAACCUUCAAAACCAUAUACCUCCUUAAAUGCCAUGCCAUCUCUUUAAAUGGAGUGGAACCAAGAUGGGUAAAAAGGUUUGGGAGGAAGGCCCUGUCUUGCUUGCUUGAAAGAUCAGGUUAAAACAAAUAGAGCCCAGAUUUCACUUCCAGCAGGCUUCUAUGACCAGGGAGUCCCAGAUCACAAAGAAAAACACAGACAAGAUGGGAGAAGCCAAGAAGAUAAAGUGAAAAAACAAAACAAAACAAAGACUAUGGGACAUAUGAGAGAAGCCAGACACCACUGUCUCCAACCACAAGGCAUAGCAAGUUGCUGCUGUGAGCCUUCAUCUAUACAGGCUAAGGUAGGAAAAAAAACUGCACACCCCACUCCUCACAAUUUUAGCUAAGAUGGAAUUUCAUAAGCACCCAGUGGUUUUUUUUUUCCUUCAGCCUGGAGAGCUAAUUGAGAUCUGAGUAACUACCAGGCAUGGAGUAGGGAAGCUACCUUGCUUCCUUCCCCUCUGCCAAUCCCACAAAGUACCGUAUUUACCCAGCACAUCUGUGUUCUCCAACCAACAUUAUCCUCAGAGACAGAGCAGUGGACUGAUCCCUCAGUUGUGAGAGAUUUUCUUGCAUCCACCCCAGAGUUAUGCUCAUUCACUCUAUGUGGGAAGCAGCCCAUAAAAAAAUCUGCUCUCACCUGGCAGAUCAGGGUAAUGACCCCACUAACACCAGGACUGGAACAAUUUGUUCUAAACUUCUUGGUGCCACUGGAAUCUACCCAGUGGACAUAGGGAAUAACUUACCUGUACUCCACCACUCUGGGUUCAUACCUGCCAGAGUAAAAUGUCCUUUCUACCUUGGAGUCACCCUGCAGGAUCAGAACAGGAUCCAGCUUCACAUCCCCUGGUCCUGAGAUUGUUGUCAUUAUAAACCACAACACCAGUUAGACUCACCACGCAGAACCUGAGGAAGGCUCCAUCCAUAUCACACAGUUCUAGAAUCAUAGUAAUUGGUACCAUAAGCUCAGGUAUAACUCAGGCUUGCCAGGAGGACAAGGGGGCAGCCACUCCUGUCUCCUUCAGUGAUAAGAACAAGAUCCUGGCUAUCAAAUUUGCCAGAGACUGACCUCUCUGUGGACCAAAAAUAUACAUCCUAGGAAACCCCUAUUCAUCUCAAUGCCGCACCUCUACCCCAAAAAUCUGCAGCAAACUAGUCCACUGGGUCCCUAUUAGACACAGCUGACAUUAAGAAAAUCAGAUUACAUUCAUGGGCUCAUCUAGAACCAAAGUCACAGCAACAAGCCAAGUAUACCCUGCACACCAGCUAAACCAUAAACUAUCCCAUUAAAAAUACUCCAUAAAAAAGAAAGGAUAAUUGUACCAGAUGGGGUGAUGUGUCAACAUAGGGACACAGGAGAUAUGCAGAAUAUCUCCAAAGGAACACAAUACUCAAGAAUUCAGUCCUAAACUGAAGGAAAUAUAUGAAUUGACACAGAGCAUUCAAAAUAAUGAGUAUAGAGAAAUUUAAUUAGAUGCAGGAAAAUGUAGCUAUAGAACUCAGCAAGAAGAAACAAAUAGGGGUUUUGGUUAUGAAAUCUUCAACCAGUGAAAUUAAAUAAUUGAGAGCUUACUAAGUAGAAUAGACCAAUGGGAGGAAAUAAUUUCUGAUCUUAAAGACAAGACUUUGGAAACAACCCAAUCAAAAAUGAAAAAAAUCUACACAUAACAGGGGAUACCAUUAAAUGACCAAAUAUUCAUAUUAUAGUUAUUCCUAAAGGAGAAGAAAAGGAAAAAGCCAUUGAGAACCUCCUAAAUGAAACAACUGAAAAUUUCCAAGGUCUUGAAAGAGACAUGGACGUCCAGAUACCAAAAGCUCCAAGGACCCCAAGCAGACUCAACUGAAAAUAGAAAUUGCCAAAAGGUAAAGAUUAGUAGAGUCUAAAAACAGGAAGAGUAAUCUGUAAAUUAUAUAUAAAGGAAAACCAAUUAGAUUAAUAUCAGACUUCUCAGUAGAAACCCUACAGGCCAGAGUAGAAUGGGAUGAUAUAUUCAAGGUUUCAAAAGAAAAGAAAAUCCAACCAAGAAUGUUAUAUCCAGUGAAGCUAUCCUUCAAAAGUGAAGGAGAAAUAAAGUAUUUUCUAGAUAAGCAAGAGCUGAGAGAAUUCACCCCACCAGAACAGCCUCAACUCUCAAGUUAGAAGACACAGACUGGCUGAAUGGAUUAAAAACAAAACCCAUUACUUACUGCCUACAAGAAACAUCUCACCAACAAAGAUACACACAGACUGAAAGUGAAAGGAUGGAAAAAGAUAUUCCAUACUAAAAAAAAGCUGGUGUAGCCAUCCUAAUAUCAAAAUAGACUUUAACACAAAAACUGUUAAGAGAUAAAGAAAUGAUUAAAGGAUCAAUUCAAUAGAAAGAUAUAAUGAUUAUAAACAUGCACCUAAUUACAGGGCACCUGGCUAAUUAAAAAGAAGUAUUAAGGGACUUAAAGGGAGACUUAGAUGCCAAUACAAUAGUAAUGGGGAAUUCAAAACCCCACUUUCUGCAAUGGACAGAUCAAGCAGAAAAUCAGCAAGGAAACAGAUUUAAUUGACACUGUAGACCAAAUGGAUUGAGCUGAUUUCUACAGAAUUUUUCAUGCUACAGUUGAAGAAUACACCUUCUCACCAGUGCAUGGAACUUUCUCUCAGAUUGACCACAUACUAGGCCAUAAAGCAAGUUUCACCAAAUUAAAAAAAAAAAUCAUACCAUGUAUCUUCUUGGACCACAUGGAAUGAAGCUGGAAAUCAGCAACACAGAAAUCUCUACAACAUGUGCAAACACAUGGCAACUGAAAAACAUGCUCCUGAUGUGACAGGGCAACCUAAGAAAUUUGCAAAAAUUUGUAACUUAAAAUUUUUUCCACAGGACAUAUGAUUCCUCGAUAUAGUUAGAUUUGCCUAACCGCGUUGGAGCAGAAACUGUUCCUUGAGACAAAAAAAGUUACAAAUGCGGUCUGCUCAUCUGGAUGUAACCUGCAUAUUUCUUGCUUCUGUCCUUUGGCUUGCUUGCUUCUUUCAUAAUGACCAAGGCCACCAGGAUGUGGUUUCUGCCUUUAAAAUUGCCACACAAUUGCAACUUGGGGCUGUUUUCUGUGGACUAUGCUCUGUCAGUAGGCAGUCACCAGCUGGCUAAUAAUGACUCCUAAUUUGACCUGAAAAGUCUCUCUGUGUUUUAAUCUCUGAACCCCACAACAUUUGGAGGCCCCAGCGAGAUCUUCCCCUGUCUCUCUUGGAACAGUGGAGCUAGCUCUGACACUAUGGUGUAGCCCAAGGAAGAGGCUCAGAGGGAAGCCACUGAGAGAUGUUUCUUGGCCCUGGGCUGACUUCUCACACUUUCACACAGUUUCUUGGAGUCUUUGCUAAAUUUAAGUCAAAAGAGUCAUCUGACACCUCACUGGUGAGUAGAAAUCAUUUUUCCUAGUUUCUGGUCUGUGGGUUGACCUGUCUGCAGUUGUUGGGUGACUAGAAACAGCAUUACUUCCACAACCAGGUCUGAGUUCGAGACACCAUCUCAGAUUCUGGUCUUGGUUGAGUCUAAUUUGUGUAAGGGGUUGUUUGUUCCUUCUGUUUUGGUGUGUUGGUGUUGUCAUAGAGAUGGGGCAAGAAUCACCCCUCCCUGCUGAUCUACCUUUGGGCUAUAUCUUAGCAGCACACUCUUUGACUUUACUAAAAUUAUCUAAGUCUUUUGGUUUUUACUUUAAAUGCUUUUGAUUCCCAGUUCUUCUGUGCAUGAGAAGGGCCUACCUUUGACAUCUGGUGGCUGCCAGAGGAACUAUUAAUCUUUCUAUAUAGCUCUGCAGGUCCAUAAUAUGAUUUGUGGGAAGCCUGCCUAUCCUGACUAGAUCCUGUAUAUUGAGAUCUGGAUAGAUUUCUUUUCUAAUCCCUCAUCUUGAUUAAAAGCUUGCCCCCCCCCAAAAAAGGUAAAAGUGCUUGAGAAGCAUCACAUGCUUCUGGCCAAGUCAAAGAGGAAGGGGCCCUUAUCUCCUGUUAUACAGGGCACCCCCAGAGGACCUGGCCCCUAUGGAGCUGGUGCCUCGGCCUCAGCGACUCCUGACUCUUUUCAGGCAACAAAUGAUGGCAAGGGAGAACUUUGACCUGUCAGUCCUCCUCACAUGUGGAGUGAGUCAACAUAUCACUGGCAGCCGCAGGAAGCACUAAGCUCUUCCUUUAUGAAAGGUUGCCUCCCUUCUAGGAGGGGACAGGCCCCCUUUUAUGGUUUAUGCUCCCUUUUCUACUAGUGACCUAUACAACUGGAAAUAACAAAACACCUCAUUUUUCAGAGAAGCCACAGGGCUUAAUUUCUCUUCUUGAUUCUAUUUUUACUCACCAGCCAACCUGGGACAGCUGCCAGUAGCUCCUUCAGACUCUUUUUAACUCAGAAGAGAGAGAAAGUACAUCUUGCAAGAGGGCCAAAAAUUGGUCCUGGGCCCCGACAGGCAGCCUAUCUCUGAACCCAUCAGACUGGAGAGAGUAUUUCCCCUUAGCCACCCUGAUUGGGACCCAAAUGAUGAUAGAGGUAAGGAGGCUUUUGCUCGGUAUCACCAGGUUCUCAUAAGGGGGUACACACAGCAGCAACAAAGAAGCCCACUAAUUUAUCUACAGUAAAUGAGACCAUCCAAAAGAUGGAUGAGUCUCCGAUCACAUUUGAGUGCCUCUUUGAGGCACACUGUGUAUACAUCCCCAUAGACCCAGAGCCCUCUGAAAAUAGCCAUGGUAUUAAUGUGAUGUUUGUAUCCCAUUCGCCACCCAGUAUUAGAUAUAAGCUAUAAAGAUAAAAAAGGGUUUGAGGGAAAGCUCCUUUCUAAAUUGGUAGAGGUGGCUCAAUGGGUCUACAAUAAUCGAGUUGGCCCUGUUACUACCCAGACCAAAUAAGAUGACCUGGAGUAUGGCAGUGACCUUAAAAAAAAAAAAAAGACCCAGAGCUUGGGCCAGACAAGGGCCCACUAAGGUGGGAUUGUCCUUAAGAAGGAUCAGUGUGCCUACUACAAGGAAGCCUCAAAACUAACACUGGGUCAGGACUUACAAAUAGUGGCCCCCCACUCACCGUGAGCUUUAUUGUGGAGCCUCCUAGAGAGGUGGCUCUCCAAUGCAUGGAUCACCCAAUCCCAGGUACAGCUCCUAGACCCACCAAGAAUCAAACUUCUAAAAAGUACUGCUUUAAAUCCUGCCACUUUACUUCCUGAUGAUGACCCAUUGAAGCCUUUCCAUAAGUGUAAAGAGGUGAUGGAAUCCUUAAACAUGCAGGUAGAUCUGACCGACACCUGCUGAAAGACCCAGAUGCUGUUUUGUUCACCAAUUGGAGCAGCUUCAUCUCCUAAGGAAUAAGAUAUGCAGGUAUAGCGAUAGUUACAUUCUCAGAAGUUAUUUGGACCCAAGCAUUAGGGCAUGGAACUUCUGCUCAAAGGGCUGAGUUAACAGCACUAACUCAGACUUUAAGAUGAACAGGGAAAAAUCUGUUAAUCUUUACAUGGACAGCAAGUAUGCUUUAUAUAAUGCCACAUGAACAUGGGCAGUGGCAAAAAAGAGGGGCCUUCUAACAUCUGGAGAAAAGCAGAUAAAAAAUGUAUCCAAAAUCUUAGCCUUGUUAAAAGCAGUGUGGCUACCUAGGAAAGUAGCCAUCAUUCACUGCAAGGGACAUCAGAACUUAGAGUCCCCAGAGGCCAAAGGGAAUACAUUUAUGAACAAAACAGUUCAGAAAACUGCCUUAAAACCAGUGUGGCCCUCCCAGAUUCUCCCUGUUGCCCCUGUCCAAACUCUACAAAAGGCUCCUGGCUACACACACACACACAAAGUCAAAGGACAGUUGCUAGGGACUAAGAUGAACUGUGAAGGAUGGGUGUGCCUUCCUGAUGAGAGGCCACUCCUCCCAAUGGCUAUCAGCCAAAAACUGAUGGAACAAGUCCAUCACAGCACCCAUCUAGGAAGUACAAAAUUAACUGAGUUACUGCAAUGCCACUAUUACAUCCCUGGACUGGAUCAGCAACGGGGCCAAGUCUCAUCCUGAUGUCAUAUCUGCACCCAGGUAAACCAGGGACAAAGAGGUGAGUUAGCCCAAGAGAUACAGUUAUGGGGAAAGGAUCCAGGAGAACAUUGAAAAGUGGACUUUACUGAAAUAUUACCUGGAAAAUAUUGUUACCAUUAUCUUUUAGAUUUUGUUGACACAUUUUCUGGGUGUGUGGAAGCCUACCCUACCAAGACAAACAGCUCAAGUAGUAGUAAAAAUUAGUUUGAGAGUGUCCUCAUAUUUGGCCUCCCGCUAACAAUGGGCUCCAACAAUGGUCCCAUGUUCAUCGCUCAGGUGACUCAAUUACUAACAAAGGUGUUAAGAUAAAUUAAAAGCUUUGUUGUGCCUGUAGACCACAGAGUUCAGGACAGGUGAAAAGGAUAAAUAGGACCUUAAAGAAAACUUUAACAAAAUUGAAGCUAAAGACUGGUGAAAAAUGGAUGAGCCUCCCUCCCUUUGCCCUAUUAUGGUCACGGUGUACCCUUCAUGUGAAAGGUCGAACACCCUAUGAGAUAAUGUUUGAAAGGCCACCAUUCCUACUCUCCAAACUAGGGGAUGAACUGCUGUUGGAAUUGGAUAAUGACUCCCUGAAGUUCUUUCCAGGCUCUUCAGGCAGACCUUCAACAACUGCACACCUUGGUAAAAGCCACGUGACCAGAACUCCCUCAGUUGAUCUCUGGUGCUGAUGCCUGCAAUAUCCAACUCGGGGAACUGGUGUAGAUAAAAAACACAACUGCUCAACCCUAGAGGCGUGGUGGGCUGAACCUCUGCCUGUAAUCUUAAACACACCAAUAGCAGUUAAAGUAGCAGGAAAAUGCCAUUAAGAUCCAUCACAUGCAGGUAAAAAAAAAAGCCUCACAUCUGAAGCUGUGGAAUGAUGGAUCACCAGCCCUACAGGAGACCUGCUACAGAUCAGACUUUCCUGUGCUUCAUAAGUAUUUUAGUGUUUAACAUACUAGCAACAGGGGAGAGUGAAGAUUCACUUCACCCACACCAAUUAAUAAACUAUAGUGGGAGCUGCGAAGGACUGGGGAUUUCACUGUUAUUGUGAAGAACUCCUCCUUCACUUCCCCCCUGGUUUCGAUUUGACCUCUGUUCACUGUUUGGGUCCAGUAAUGACAAAAUUUGUAAUCAAGGAAACCAGGACAGGGACCUAUGCUAUGCAGCAGGGCCUAAAUCCCAGCUCUCCAACUAUGGGAAAGAGUGGGCCAAAAAAUCUAUAAAUCAGCUUAAAUUUUCGCUAAACUGCUUGUCCGAGAUAGCCCUACAAAACCAAAGGGGGUUAGAUCUUUUGUUCCUAAAACCAGGCUUUAGAAGAAACACUGUUUUUUACUCACCACCUAGUGGUUAGCAUAGAAACAAUUUAACACUAGUUCAAGAACAAUUAGAUCACACGAAAAAAUUGGAGCCAUUAGGAGAGUCAAUGAUUUGAAUCCCAAAUAAAACCAGUAGGGAAUGUGAUAGGGCAACUUAGGAAAUUUGUUACUUAAAAUUUUUUCCCCAAGAUAUAGCGUACCUUGGUAAGGUUACACUUGCCUAACUGCAUUGGAGCAAAAUUGUUCCUUUGAGACAAACAAGUUAUAAAUGUGGUCUGCUCAUCUGGAUGUAACUGACUUAUAUCUGGCUUCUGUACUUUGGCUUCAUUGCUUGAUAAUAACCAAGGCCAUCAGGAUGGGAUUUCUGCCUUUAAAAUUGCCAUACAAUUGCAACUCGGGGCUGUCUUCUCUGGAUUUGCUCUGUGAGAAGGCUGUUGCCAACUGGCUAAUAAAGACUCCUAAUUUGACCUGAAAACUCUCACUGUGUUUUAAUUUCUGUACCUCACAACAUUGAAUAAACAGUAAGUCAUAGAAGAAAUCAAGUGAGAAUUUCUGGAAACAAAUGAAGAUGACAACACAACAUAUUAAAAAUAUGGGAUACAGAAAAAGCAGUGUUAAGAGGAAUGUUUA